GGUGCAAGCGUUAAUCGGAUCUGGGCGUAAAACGUGCGCAGGCGGUUUUGUAAGUCUGAUGUGAAAUCCCCGGGCUCAACCUGGGAAUUGCAUUGGAGACUGCAAGGCUAGAAUCUGGCAGAGGGGGGUAGAAUUCCACGUGUAGCAGUGAAAUGCGUAGAUAUGUGGAGGAACACCGAUGGCGAAGGCAGCCCCCUGGGUCAAGAUUGACGCUCAUGCACGAAAGCGUGGGGAGCAAACAGGAUUAGAUACCCUGGUAGUCCACGCCCUAAACGAUGUCUACUAGUUGUCGGGUCUUAAUUGACUUGGUAACGCAGCUAACGCGUGAAGUUGACCGCCUGGGGAGUACGGCCGCAAGGUUAAAACUCAAAGGAAUUGACGGGGACCCGCACAAGCGGUGGAUGAUGUGGAUUAAUUCGAUGCAACGCGAAAAACCUUACCCACCUUUGACAUGGCAGGAAGUUUCCAGAGAUGGAUUCGUGCUCGAAAGAGAACCUGCACACAGGUGCUGCAGGCUGUCGUCAG
rnacentral:rRNA from 1 species